UACGGAGGGUGCAAACGUUGCUCGGAAUCAUUGGGCGUAAAGCGCGCGUAGGCGGCGAAGCAAGUUGGAUGUGAAAGCCCUGGGCUCAACCUACGGAUGUGCAUACAAAACUGCUUCGCUUGAUCUCGGAGGGGGUCAGGGAAUUCCCGGUGUAGAGGUGAAAUUCGUAGAUAUCGGGAGGAACACCAGUGGCGAAGGCGCUGACCUG
rnacentral:rRNA from 1 species